rnacentral:lncRNA from 13 species
GGGAAGAGAACUAGAGUCUGUGCCUGGUAAUUCAGCUAUUUCUUCUGAAUCUUGUUGAAGACCACCAAGGCAGUACCUCUAUGAAUCUACAAAGCCCAGCAUUACCAGAAGUUUAGAAUGUUACUGUCUAGAAUACCGAUUUCUAACAAGUUAGAAACAUAAACCUGACGAUGCCACUGAAUGCUCACAGUCCUAAUGUGUGCUCAGGUAUCUAUUCUGUUAAUAAUCUUAAUUAAAUUCAUACAAAGGAAAGAAGAAUAGCUAAAAUUCAACACUUACCUUCCUGACUCAAAAAUAAUUUAAAAUUUCUCAAAUUGGAUCCCACUAUUGGAAAAUACAAGUAUGUGUAAGAAAAAAUUGAGAUUUUUGUGUUAAGCAGUAAUUCAUCUGCUUACUAUUGCUAAAAAGUCACAGCUGUGUAAAAUCUUAACAUUUUCACUAUUUUUUUCCUCCAAAGGAGGCUAGUGAUGCUGAGUGUUUGCCCUGAAAAUUCAAGAACAUGAACAUUUUACUGCACUUGGAUCCAAGUGGCAGAUCUGGAAAUAAGAUUUUUAUUUUUAAGAGCUAUGGAAAGAAAGGAAAAGAUUCAUUCAUUUCAUGCAUCCAUCUGCAGAAGCAAUAAAUAGAAUUAUUCUAAACCUUGCUCUGCUAAAUAACAGGUACAGAAUAUUUGGUCUUUUUGGUUAAAAAAGUUGGAAGAUUCCAGAUAGAAAUACAUAAAAUGACACAAAGAUAUCUAUAUAUGCUGACUGUCUCCUGUUUGCCUCUAUAGGCUGAAAUUUACCUACUGCAUGGGGGUUUACUUGUCCAUUGAUUUCAUGAUGUUUUGGACCAAAAGAAGUCUUGGCAUGAGAUAGGAGGGAGGAAGAGGAGCUAAUUCAAGUCACUGAUUAUCUUAGUCUCUACUCUGCCCCUCCGUAUAGUUCUGCUUCAGUCUGGCAAUAUCCCUUCAGAGACAGAUUUCAGCUGUCAAAUGACCCUCUCCUUACAGCCAUUUUUGUUAUUUACAAUAUAAUAAUGUGUCUUGACUUGCCAAAUCAAUAUAAUAUCCUUAGUCUCAUCUCUUGAAGACUUAGUGUCUUAAUGAAAUCCUGCCAUCACUACCUUUUGGGUACAAUACUAUACAAUGUGGUUUUUGGUUGAUUUCAUCUUUGUGGACAGACUUUAUCAAACCUUCCUGAAACUGUUUUUGAGUAUGCCUCUGGAUCUCUGAGGAUCCUAAAUAAUACAUGUGAAUGUAUUAGAAAAAUGUGAUUGCAUAUAUAUUCAAAACAAAAUGGAAAUAAGAGUCAUAUAAAAAAAGGACAUGAUUUUUUUAACUGGGAGAUUUUCAUAGAGACCUGUAAUUCCU